rnacentral:rRNA from 1 species
ACCUGAAUCCAUUCCGAACUCAGAAGUGAAACAUGUCAGCGCCGAUGGUAGUGUGGGGCCUCCCCAUGUGAGAGUAGGACACCGCCAGGC